AUCCCCAUGCAGCGAGCUAAGAGCUAUUUAAAGGGGGUACAGCCCCUUUAAAAAAGGAUACAACCCCCACCAGCGGAUAACCACUAACCCACCAACUCAAGUAGGCCUUAAAGCAGCCACCACCAAAGAAAGCGUCAAAGCCCACAACAAAAAAAUCCCAAAAACAAUGCGACUCCCUAAACCAUAGUGAGCUAACCUAUUAACAUAGAUGAAUUUAUGCUAAAACGAGUAACCAGGACACUUGUCCCCUUAAGCGCCAACCUGACAACCCAUUAACAGCAUAACUACAAUCUUUCCCCUAAACAACAUUGAAUAUACCCUGUCAACCCAACCCAGGAGCGCACACUAGGAUGAUUAAAAUCUGCAAAAGGAACUCGGCAAACCCAAGGCCCGACUGUUUACCAAAAACAUAGCCUUCAGCCAAACAAGUAUUGAAGGUGAUGCCUGCCCAGUGAUACUAAAUUCAACGGCCGCGGUAUCCUAACCGUGCAAAGGUAGCGCAAUCAAUUGUCCCAUAAAUCGAGACCUGUAUGAAUGGCUAAACGAGGUCUUAACUGUCUCCUGCAGACAAUCAAUGAAACUGAUCUCUUUGUACAAAAGCAAAGAUACUCACAUAAGACAAGAAGACCCUGUGGAACUUCAAAAUCAUUAACCACAGCACCCCAAAACUCAAAACCCUACCAAGGCCCACUUCUCAAAACACUGGUUAACAUUUUUAGGUUGGGGCGACCUUGGAGAACAAAAAAUCCUCCAAAAAUAAGGCCAAACCCCUUAACCAAGAGCAACCCCUCAACGCGCUAAUAGCACCCAGACCCAAUAAAAUUGACCAAUGAACCAAGCUACCCCAGGGAUAACAGCGCAAUCCCCUCCAAGAGCCCCUAUCGACGAGGGGGUUUACGACCUCGAUGUUGGAUCA
rnacentral:rRNA from 1 species